AUGAUCUUGAUGAGGGCAGUCUCUGAGCAGCCCCUUAAACCUCUCCCAAGCUGAGUAUAAAGACUCUCUCACUUUUUGUUUGAAGGCGACUAUCUCACUUCUGAUCUU
rfam:Nicotiana sylvestris Nsyl_contig228510, whole genome shotgun sequence.